UUGGAGGGCAAGUCUGGUGCCAGCAGCCGCGGUAAUUCCAGCUCCAAUAGCGUAUAUUAAAGUUGUUGCAGUUAAUAAGCUCGUAGUUGAAUUUCGGGAUCAAUUUAUUGGUCGUGCUAUUGUACGUACUGGUAUUAUUGAUUCCUACCUUCUGACGAACCACGAUGUCAUUAAUUUGGUGUCAUGGGGAAUCAGGACUGUUACUUUGAAAAAAUUAGAGUGUUUAAAGCAGGCUCACGCUUGAAUACAUUAGCAUGGAAUAACGAAAUAGGACGUUUGAUUCUAUUUUGUUGGUUUCUAGGGUCGACGUAAUGAUUAAUAGGGAUAGUUGGGGGCAUUAGUAUUCAAUUGUCAGAGGUGAAAUUCUUGGAUUUAUUGAAGACUAACUACUGCGAAAGCAUUUGCCAAGGAUGUUUUCAUUAAUCAAGAACGAAAGUUAGGGGAUCGAAGACGAUCAGAUACCGUCGUAGUCUUAACCAUAAACUAUGCCGACUAGGGAUCGGAUGAUGUUAAUUUUUUAAUGACUCAUUCGGCGCCUUACGGGAAAC
rnacentral:rRNA from 1 species